AAACUUUUGAUGGGAAAUGGUACUUUUGUUUCUAUCUCACAUGUAGGAUCUUCCUUUAUUGUCAUUGGUAAUAGAAUUUUAUACCUUAAACAUGUUCUUCAUGUUCUAACUAUAACAAUCUGUUUUUCAUUAGUAUCGAAAAUGGUUGUCUCGAGCCCUCACUUUUGACGAGUGAGUCUGUAAAUAUUAUUAUUUAAUAUUUACGAGGUUAGGAUAAUAUUUAAUUCACGAUUGAUCCCUUAAUUUUUUUCAAUUGGAUAGGUAAUUAAGCUACAAGGAUUAAAUUGUAACAAUGGUAAAAGUUAACUGCUACAAAUUUUUAAUUAGACCAUUUAGUAUUGCUGAUUGGUGGAGGAUGAUGUAUAAUUCCACUAAAUUUAUGUUAAUUAAGCUUAUUAUUAAUUUAAUUAAGGUUUAGUUUAAUUAAUUAAGGCUUAUUAAUUUUAAAUUAGGUACAAAAGUAAAAAUUAAAAGAAAAUGAAAACCAUUCACCAAAAAAAAAUAAAAAUGUCCACAGUUUAAAAAGGAAGGAAAUAGGGUUUUAUAACAUUCAAACUUUCGGCCAACAGUUUUGCGAGUAUACAAGUCCUUUUCUUAUAAUUUAUAUGUUUUUAAGGUUCGAGAGCUUGAUUUAGCUAGUCUGUGCACUGAUUUGCAAAAUUGUUAGACAAUGUUGUCAAUAAGGCGUGUUAGUUCAUGCACAAGCCUCUUGAUCAACAUUUCAAGGCUGCCGAACGUAUUCUAAGGUACUUGCAGGCCACCUUAGACUAUGGAAUAUUUCUUACUGCAGCCUCUCAGUUGUCUCUUAUAGGCUACUCAGAUGCCAAUUGGGGCACUGAUCCUGAUGAUAAGCGCUCAACAUCAGGCUUUGUAUUUUCCUAGAAGGCAAUCCUGUUUUUUGGGGCUGAAAGAAACAACAAUUGGUGUCUCGGUUCACUGCAGUAGUAGAAUACAAGAGUCUAGCACUUGCCACUGCUGAAAUCAUCUGGCUAGAAUCUUUGGUAGUUGAAUUACUUGUUCAGGUUGUAAGCAAGGCAACUAUAUGGUGUGACAACUCAGGUGUUGUUGCAGUAUUAGCCAAUCCAGUUCUUCAUUAUAAGUUUAAUCAUGUCCAUGUCCCAGCUCAGGACUAGGUGGAAGAUGUGCUCACAAAGCAUCUCUCAGCUGGACGUUUUACCAUGUUCAGAACACAACUCAAAAUUCUCAAUAGAAAUGAGCAUCUCCAGAGCAGCAAAUGAUGGGUGAGUGUUAAGAAAUAAGCUAGUAGUUGUAGUUAGGUAGUUAGUUUGUUAAGAAGUCAGUUGUUAGUUCAAUUAGGUAACUCUGUUAUUUAGCUAUUGAAUCGGCUGACUUGCUAGCUGCUCUUGUAUAAAUGGAAAACACUUACAGCGUGUUUGGUUCAGUGUAAUAGGUAAUCCAUUACGCCCCGAUUACGCGCCUAUUACAUUACUGACCUAUUUCGGCGUUUGGUUCGCUGUAAUCGGUAUUACGCGCCUAUUACAAUACUGACCUAAUCCCCAAAUUCUCUGCUUUUCUAUUCCCUUCCCAAAUCGAUGAUUACCCUAUUACGUCCGGCUUUCUUUCCCAAGUCUCUAUUUUACCCUCCCUUCCUACCCGAAAUCGACCUCCACCCUCUCCUUUUUCUGUCAUCAUCAUUUCUCCUCCCAUUUCUUUACCGUUUCUCUCUCUCAGUCUCUUUUUUCAUUUUAUCCCUUUCAUUUGUUGUAGCAUGUUUGAAAUCAACUGCUUCAUUUUUUCUCUCGGUCUCGGCGUUUGGUUUUUGAAUCUUGAGGUUCUUUGUUCCAACACUUCUUCAUCGUAGUCAUCCCCGAUUUUCUCAUUAAAGAUAAUUAUGUCAGGUGUUCCACAAUCACAUGCUUCUUCUCAAGCUUCUCGAGGAACCAAAAGAAAAUGGGUUCCAGAAGAAGAUGCAGCCUUGGUUUCUUGCAUGGUGGACUUGCACAAUCUUGGAACAUUUAAUGCUGAUACCGGGUUCAAAGCCGGUUAUUUGAACGAAUUGGAAAAAAUGCUAGAAAAGGCUUUACCAAAUGCAAUAUUGAAGGCGAAACCAAAUAUUGAAUCGAGGAUUAGGUUACUAAAAAGGGAAUGGUCAAUCGUCUAUGACAUGCUUAAUGGCUAAAACAAUAGCGGUUUUGGUUGGGACGAGCAUAGGCAGCUCGUUGUUGCUGAAGAUGCAGUUUGGGACUCCUAUUUAAAGAGUCACAAAGAAGCUGCUCAAUUCAGACAUCGUACUUUCCCUUACUACGACCAGCUUACUGCCAUAUACGCAAGAGAUCGAGCGACUGGGAAAGAUGCUCAAACAGCUGCUGAUGUUCUUGAAGAAAUAAAUGCUGAGGAUGUACCUACUACAGAUAUGAAUGAAGAGAGAAACACAUUCUAUGACUGCGAAGCUAACGUCUCUUUGGACGACAUGAAUAUUUUUGGUACGGAGCCGCGAGGAGAUAGAGACCAAGGGGGUUCCUCAUCUUCAAACAAGAAAAAGAAGAAAUCUGAUGCUCGUGAUAAUAUGUCUUCUUCAUUUAAUGAGGCUUCCACUUUAUUGGCCGAAAACGUGCGGGCCAUUGGCGAUCAAAUCAGUAGGAGUAUUGCCUCCGAUGUGGU